GUGGGGUAUAGUGACACAGUAGCAGAGGGAUUGAGGGCCCUGCUCAGUGAGCUUACAUGUUAGAGGGAGUGGGGUAUAGUGACACAGUAACAGAGGGACUGAGGGCCCUGCUCAGUGAGUUUACAUGUUAGAGGGAGUGGGGUAUAGUGACAAUAACAGAGGGAUUGAGGGCCCUGCUCAGUGAGUUUACAUGUUAGAGGGAGUGGGGUAUAGUGACACAGUAACAGAGGGAUUGAGGGCCUGCUCAGUGAGUUUACAUGUUAGAGGGAGUGGGGUAUAGUGACACAGUAACAGAGGGAUUGAGGGCCUGCUCAGUGAGUUUACAUGUUAGAGGGAGUGGGGUAUAGUGACACAGUAACAGAGGGAUUGAGGGCCCUGCUCAGUGAGUUUACAUGUUAGAGGGAGUGGGGUAUAGUGACACAGUAACAGGGAUUGAGGGCCUGCUCAGUGAGUUACAUGUUAGAGGGAGUGGGGUAUAGUGACACAGUAACAGAGGGAUUGAGGGCCUGCUCAGUGAGUUUACAUGUUAGAGGGAGUGGGGUAUAGUGACACAGUAACAGAGGGAUUGAGG